UGAGCGCCUCCUUAAAUUUUGCUCUCUAGGUGACUGCCUUGUUUAUCCUUGGCCUGACCAUGAUGCUCAUUUUGUUUGAGUGAAGAGGGGAGAGCAGCUACCUCUCACCAAGAUUUUAUAAGAAAUUGUUUCUCUGCAGGGAAUUUCACACUGAUGCUGAGAUCUUGUUAAACUAACGUUACCUCCUUGAUCAUGGCUCAGAGAAAUUCACCAGAACUUUUUUCCAGGAGGAAUAAUCCUAGCCCUGUCAUGCUCUCUGCAUAGACUUUUCAUUCCCCUCAUAUUCCUCUCCCUGUCCUUCUUAUUCUGAAGUCACUGAAAACAGGACUCAUCAUCGAACUCCAAGCACUAAUCAGGACAAGAGGUGGAGAAAUGGAGACCCAGACAGAAAGUGACUGAGCCGGGAUUCCAGCUGAGAAAACCUGACCCCACGGUCUGCAGUCCUACCUUUUAUGCGAACUGCUCUGAAAUUCCAAAAUACAUAACGUGAAAUGUGGGAUCCAUAAAUAAGGUCCCUGGACAUUGAGAAGGAGUGAUGUAAAUACCUGGGUAAUUGUUCAUCAGAGACUCUCAGUCCCCCUCUAUUCCUUCACUUCCUGGAGUUGAUCAGGUUACAAAGAGAGAGGCAGCAUUCCAGUCCCAGGACCAAGAAGAUGUUAAUGCCAAGAAGGCAGGGACAUGCUGAAGUGAGCUUCCACAGUCUCACUUGAUGCUCAGAG
rnacentral:lncRNA from 1 species